UACGGGGGGGGCAAGCGUUGUUCGGAAUUACUGGGCGUAAAGGGCUCGUAGGCGGCCAACUAAGUCGGACGUGAAAUCCCCAGGCUCAACCUGGGAACUGCGUCCGAUACUGGAUGGCUUGAAUCCGGGAGAGGGAUGCAGAAUUCCAGGUGUAGCGGUGAAAUGCGUAGAUAUCCGGAGGAACACCAGUGGCGAAAGCGGCCACCUGGACUGUACCUGACGCUAACACGCGAAAGCUAGGGGAGCGAACGGG
rnacentral:rRNA from 1 species